UACGUAGGGUGCGAGCGUUGUCCGGAAUUCUUGGGCGUAAAGGGCUCGUAGGCGGUUUGUCGCGUCGGGAGUGAAAACCUUGGGCUUAACUCAGGGCUUGCUUUCGAUACGGGCAGACUAGAGGUAUGCAGGGGAGAACGGAAUUCCUGGUGUAGCGGUGAAAUGCGCAGAUAUCAGGAGGAACACCGGUGGCGAAGGCGGUUCUCUGGGCAUGAUCUGACGCUGAGGAGCGAAAGUGUGGGGAGCGAACAGG
rnacentral:rRNA from 1 species